rnacentral:misc_RNA from 1 species
CCGAAGUACAGGCCCGCUCGCGGGCUCAACUUCCACCCUCUGUUUACCAUUCUCUGUUGCUUUGGCGAGACGUCCCUCACAGGCCACCGGCUUCGGCUGGUGUGUGCUCGCCAGAGAAAACCCAAACCCAAACAUAUUUUAGUGAUUGUCUGAAAACAAGUUUAAUAAUUA